rnacentral:rRNA from 1 species
GACGAACGCUGGCGGCGUGCCUAAUACAUGCAAGUAGAACGCUGAAGGAGGAGCUUGCUCUUCUGGAUGAGUUGCGAACGGGUGAGUAACGCGUAGGUAACCUGCCUGGUAGUGGGGGAUAACUAUUGGAAACGAUAGCUAAUACCGCAUAAUAACAGUUGUUGCAUGACAACUGUUUGAAAGGUGCAAUUGCCUCACUACCAGAUGGACCUGCGUUGUAUUUGCUAGUUGGUGGGGUAACGGCUCACCAAGGCGACGAUACAUAGCCGACCUGAGAGGGUGAUCGGCCACACUGGGACUUGGACACGGCCCAGACUCCUACGGGAGGCAGCAGUAGGGAAUCUUCGGCAAUGGACGAAAGUCUGACCGAGCAACGCCGCGUGAGUGAAGAAGGUUUUCGGAUCGUAAAGCUCUGUUGUAAGAGAAGAACGAGUGUGAGAGUGGAAAGUUCACACUGUGACGGUAUCUUACCAGAAAGGGACGGCUAACUACGUG